GCUACGCAGCAGCGACGGUAGCCGUACACUUCCCCGCAAAAUCUGAGAUUCUCUCUGUACUUCUUGUUGCUGCUCCUACCUACCACUAGCGGCUACCUGCUGCCAUCAUCAAGAUUUGGGACAUUGGUACUUAAUUGGUUAACGACGAUACGGCCGCAAUUGGGGAACUUCAAUGACAAAAGCGACUAUGACAAAAGGGACAUUGGUGCCUGGAAAGGAGCAUCUCGGAAAUGGUGAAGCUCGUCAGCUGAUGGCUCAUGUCUGUAGAAAUUCAAAUUGGUAGCGGAUAUAGUGAGUGCUGGAGAUCGCUUCAAAUUCAACACACCUCUGGAGAAUUGCUGCAGUGUCGCCGUUCUGUAAUAUUUUCCGUCAACAAUUUGUUGUAACAUACUUAAAUAUAUGCUCAA